CAGAAUUACUGGACCCUGGCUGCAGCUAUUAAAUUCAACGCAAAUCCCCUUGAACCCUAAAAAUGCAUUUGGCCCCCUUCAUGGUGGCUGAAUCCUGAUUCAGACGGGUCACAGAAUUACUGGACCCUGGCUGCAGUUAUUAAAUACAGCUGAAAUAAAUCUCCAUCAACUCUUAAUAAACUGCAUUUGAUCAAUUUAUAACACCUAAAUCUUAAUUUAGUUAGACUAGGGUUAGGGUCUGCCAGUUAAAUGGCUGAGAUGUUUCCUCCCAAACCUGGAAGAAAUUUGCAUCAGUUUGUCAUCUUCUACAAUGGACGCAGCAGAGAAUGAGAAAAAAGCCUCUUGGGCUAUUUAUUCACCAAGCAGCACUUCAGCAUUAUGGUUGCUUGAAAUGUCAAGAUCUUCAUAUACGUCAAGGCACCACUGUCUACUGCUGACAACAUUUCAGGAAACCAGCAAAAGAAUCAGCCAAUACUUUGACAUCAGCAUCAUCUUUGGACAUCCGGAAGAUAAACCUGCUUCAUCAGGAACCCUUAAUAAUCUCCACUUGCCCCCUCCAUAGAAGUAUAAAUUUAGGCCUAAUGGGUCAUGGCUGAAUGUUAAUUCAGAUGGGUUAUAUGAUUACUGGACCCGGGCUGCAGCUAUUAAAUACAGCUCAAAUCCCCUUUAACGCAUAAGAAUGCAUUUGGCCUCCUUCAUGGUGGCCGAAUCCUAAUUCAGAUGGGUCAUAGAAUUACUGGAUCCUGGCUGCAGCUAUUAAAUAGAGCUCAAAUCCCCUU
rnacentral:lncRNA from 1 species